AAUUAAGUGACAUAUCUAACAUGUAAAAAUGAGUAAUGUUUUGGUGAUUUCACUUAUAUAUUGCAUCUCUUUCUCUGCUCCUUUGGCUUUCAGAAAAUUCUUCACUAAUUAGAAAAAAAUAUUUUGUUUAUUCUUUUUCCGUAUUCAAAAUCUCUCAAAAUUUGGUCAUUUUUCGAUUUCUAUAUUUAUCUAAUUUUCAAGGUGAGAGUUGUUAAUGUAGUUUGGUUAUGAUUUAACCCGACCGAAAUCCUCAUGACCUAACAAAUUAUAAAUAAUCUCUGACAAAACAAGGUAAAUUGUCUCGGGUUGAAAGAGACAUUAGAAUUAGAUGAUAUUAACAUAAGUCAGCCCCUCUUCUACAUUUUUAGCUUUCUUUUAGUCGAAAAUCAUUCCAAACUCGGAACAUACAUUGUGGUGUUUAUUUGGGAAGAAGUCCACGCUAAAGUAUUUUAGUACAUUUCUACCAGAUUACCCGGAUAAAUAAAAAAAGCGAAGUUACUUACAACAUGAAACAGCUUGCACAUUGAAGAAAAGUAAUCAAUCAGCAGUAUAUCCAAUGAAUCUAUGCAUCUUGUCAGGUCCAUUGGGCCUUAGAGGCCUAAAUAUUUGAAGAAAGAGUAAAAUCAAAAAUAAAGUAUCGAAAAAAGGUAACCCAAAAAUUAAUAUAGUUUGACUAAUUUUGUUGC
rnacentral:sRNA from 1 species